AACGAACGCUGGCGGCAGGCUUAACACAUGCAAGUCGAACGCCCGUAGCAAUACGGGAGUGGCGGACGGGUGAGUAACGCGUGGGAACGUGCCCUGAGGUACGGCAUAACUGCGGGAAACUGCAGCUAAUACCGUAUGAGCGCCGCAAGGGGGAAAUAUUUAUCGCCUUAGGAGCGGCCCGCGUCGGAUUAGCUAGUUGGUGGGGUAACGGCUUACCAAGGCGUCGAUCCGUAGCUGGUCUGAGAGGACGAUCAGCCACACUGGGACUGAGACACGGCCCAGACUCCUACGGGAGGCAGCAGUGGGGAAUCUUGCGCAAUGGGGGCAACCCUGACGCAGCCAUGCCGCGUGAAUGAUGAAGGCCUUAGGGUUGUAAAGUUCUUUUGCCCGUGACGAUGAUGACGGUAACGGGAGAAUAAGCUCCGGCUAACUUCGUGCCAGCCGCCGCGGUAAAAC
rnacentral:rRNA from 1 species